rnacentral:misc_RNA from 1 species
GCCGAAGCUCAUAGCCGCCUUCGGGCGUGAUGGGUGGCUGGUGUCCUCCUGCUGAGGGGUGUAUGGCGCAGCGUGGGCCGGCCUUGGGGUCGCGAAUGCCCAACGUUGCGGCGGACCACUCCUUGGGCAACUCAGUGAGGGCAAUUGGAUGGCCGUGGGCACCUUUGGCGGCUUCAGCCCCAGGGGUUACCCGGGCUGGGCGUGGGGCUUCGGUUCACGUCCUGACCUCUUAACUAACCCUGACCCCCCUCGUCAUGGAGGGCUGCCGGUGGUCCUUCGCCCUUACGGGGACGAAGCGACCCCUCGGUUAAGAUAGUUACCUGGUUGAUUCUGCCAGUAGUCAUAUGCUUGUCUCAA